ensembl:lncRNA
AGCAGGGAGGUGGUUGAAGAAGUGCAGUCAUCUCUUGUCCCUUGCAAAGAAGAGCUGCAGCUGAUCUCUUUGUUUCCAGCUGAAAUGGAGGCGGAUUUUACAAGUUCCCUUUUCUAAACACAUGGUGACCAGAGCAAGGAGCCUGAAGGAAUGGACUUGAUAUAGUCAGGGAGAGGUGUGGGAAGGAAGAGCUGAGGACAGACUGACAGCUGCUGCUCAGGUCCUGCUGUGCUUCCUGCUGGUGUCAAAAGCAAAUGAAAAACUGACACAAAAGAUCACAGGAAAGAGGAGAUUUCUGAUGCUGAGAUGCUGCAGAUUGUUCAGAGAUGGAAUUGGAGAAUAAUUGAAGCUGGAAAAGACCACCAAGAUCACCAAGUCCAACCACCAACCCAUCACCACCAUGCUUCCUAAACCACGUCCUUUGUUGCCACAUCUACCCUCUUCUUGAAAACUUCCAGGUAUAGUGACUCCAAAACCUCCCUGGGCAGCUGCAGUUGAUCUGGAAAGUCCAGCUGAAUGUUAUCCACCCUACUUCCCACUGUAGCCAACAAAAUUCUGCUGUGGGUCCAAAUGUUAAUAGCUCCAUUAUGAAUAGUAGAAGAACCUGUUUGUGGCCAUUGGUGAGAGGCACUGAUCACUUUCUGACCUUGCAGCAGUGGGAUUUGAAAAUGUAGAGCAAUGGGUGUAAAUCAAUCCACGGGCUCUUGUCAAAUCAGCUGAAAUGUUCUAUGAUGAGCUGAGCUACCAAAGAAGGAAGGCAAGUCACAAUCAGUGCUCAGUCAAAAUGUCAAGAAAGGGUUCGUUUUUUGCAUAUAUUCCAUGAUGUAGAACACAGAACUCGUGCUAUUUGUAUGGAGUUUUAUAGUGUGUGUGUAUGGGUAUUUCUAUAUGCAUACGUAUGUACAUGUAUGUUUGUCAUUAAGAAUGAACAGAGAUGACUUGGAUGAUUCUUAAGGAGUAAAUACCUACAACAACCUGUGCAAUCUGGACAGCCCCCCCCAUGCUGGGGGGCAUUCAUCAGGAACACAGCUCUGCAGAAAGGAGGUGGAGGUUGUGGUGGAUGGUAAAUUAAACAGAAGCCAACUGUGUGCCUUUGUUGGUAAGACUAUAGCAUUAGGCAAAGCAGAUUGAGGGAGGUAGUCCUUCCCUUUUGCUCUGUGCUGGUGAGGUCACACCUGGAGCGCUGGGUCUGGUUCUGACCCCCACUCCAGUAUGGGAGACCUGGGCAUGCUGGAAAAUCCAACAUAGGGCCGUAAGCAGCUCUGCUACAAGGAGAGGCUGGGGCUACUCAGCCUGGAGCAGGGGAGAUCCUAUCUGUGUCCAUAAAUACCUGAAGGGAGAAGUAGAGAAGAUAGGUUCUUGUUAGUGGUGCCCAGUGCUGGGGCAAGAGGCAAUGGGUACAAAUAGAGCCUCGGGAGGUACGCUCUGACCAUCAGGAAGAACUUCUUUACUUUUAUUGAACAGCCACUGCAGAGGCUGCCCAGGGGCUAUGAAGUCUCCUCCUUGGUGAUCUCCAACAACCAGCUGGGUGUGGGCCUGAGCACCUUGCUCUUGAUGUCCCUGCUGGAGCAGGGCUUGGGCCAGAUGGACCCAAAGGUGCUGCCAACCUCAGCCAUUCUGUGGCUCUGAGAGCCUCUUCCCUGUUUCCCCUCUCUUUGAAACAGACAUCAAUCCAUUGGCAGUGUUAUUGCUAAAUAAAUGCUUCCA